rnacentral:lncRNA from 1 species
CGUUUUAUAACUUUACAAGCGAUUAUGAUGGGAUAACUGUUUCUUAAACAUUUUAUAACAGGCAACUGGGUGGCAAUAUGUAUAGUUUGUAGACAAAGGAAAUUAUUUUACGACUGAAUUUGUCGGUAAAUGAUUGAAUAGGUAUUACCUAUCUGACAAACCCAAAUAAUAUAAAUAAAACAGCCCUACGGGCCUUCGAAGCCCUUGGCGAGAAACCAUAGUACAAGACAUAAUUUAAAUUUUUAGAAAAUUCGAGAUUGUAGGUAAAAAUUUAUUCGUUGAUUUCAAAAAUAUUCUAAUAGGCGGUAUUGCUUUAUUAUUACGUAUUCCAAUAAACGGAUAAAUUUAUCAAGGAGUAAAUGGAAACGUUUCGGGACCUCGAAUUUAUAUUCCAUAAACCGGGAUAUUCCUAUAACCGGUACUCUAAUAAGCGGGUUCGACUGUAUAUCAUUUGAAUAUUAACUAUAAUUAGCCUGUGAUUAAUAUUAUAUUUAAUAGUUAUUUAUGAUAUAAAUGUUAAGAGCACAAUUUUAAGGCACGCAUUGUAACGGUCACGUUACGAAAGUAGCUCUUUAAUAAUUAUUAUUAUUAUUUUCCCUCGGUCUCUCAUUUAAAUUCUCGUAUAGGACCACUGAGGUGACGUCAUACCUCGGUGAUGGAACGUACUCCACCUAUCGAGAAUUAUUCGGGUUCUGAGAGAAUUUGACGUUUACCUUGGCGGAGAAGCGCCUCUCGUUCUUUACUUGACUGUUGGCUGUUGUGUCGAAUAGAGGUACCAUAUAGAAUGGCGGAUGAUUUCAUCCAACUUAUUUUAUAACAUCAAGCAAUUUAAAGUAAAGUAAAAAGUUACCACCAAGGAUUGUCUGGAGUGAGGAGACAUGUGGGUGACAACUCCUGUUGGAGUCUAAAUAGGAAUCAUUCGCCAUUUGGGAGAAACCCUACCAUGAAGUCAUAGACCUUAUUUGACCACCUAGAGAAACCACUACAGCCACAGUCAAGUCAUCAUGGGAGUAUGUCUAUUUGGGAGCAAGCUAUGGGAGCGUUCCAGCUCAAUUUUCGUCUUGGCACCUGGGCCUACAGGAGUCAUGGGGUCGCACCAUCCUGGUGCAUCAUUUUCUAGGAUGCAACCGCAACCUCUUUUGGGAACAUUUAGUGAGGUGUUUUAGUAACUAUUGGUUUUUUUUAUAUUUCAGACUAUCUGUUAAAUACACUGUUUUUUUUUUCCAGAUUUAGGUUACCUCUGGUUUUUUUUGACAUAUUCGUAUAUUAGAUUAUUUGGUUCCCAAACUUUGUAUCUACGGUAACUUCUUGUACACAGGAAUAAGCCUAGAGAAAAUUAGGUUUUUAAUACUUUAUUAUUGCUUUGAUAUUGGUUUAUGUAAUUCGGGUAAAUUUAUUUUUUUAAUAUUACUAGCUUGUUUCCCAAAUAUUUUACUGUUAUUCGCUUUAUUCCAUUUGUUCGGUUAAUUUAGGUCAUCGUCGGUAUUUAUCUCAACUUCAUUUCUACUUUAGUCAAUUGUAUAUUUAACUUUAUUUAUUCAUUAUUGUAUUUUCCCUUAGUGAGGCUUGGGCCUAUUUAUUUGUAGUAUUUUCAUCUUUGUCAGUUUCCUUUAGUUGUACGUAGCGGGCGUACUAUAACCAUUUGGUAGAAGACUUAUGUAAUUGUGUACCCUAUAUGUUAGUGAGAGGUAGGUACUUAUACCUGUAAUUUUGUAACAGGUAACAUUGUUGUUAUCUUAGGUUGAACAUAACUUUUGCAAACUUUUGUCAUUUUAGAGUCACAUGAUAUACACUUUGUUUAACUCAGAGAUUGUUAAAAAUCUGGUAGUUCAUUUUAAUAAAUGUUUAUUUAUUUUGUAUAUCAUUUAUUUUUAUUAUUCCUUUAUGUUCAUUAUUACAGGUUUGAUAUAUUUAAUAUUUGACAGCAGUAUAAGAUACCUGGGAAAAUGAUCGAAGAUCAUUUUCAUGGCGCCCAUGAUUUGUUAGAUUUAUUUAUUUUGUUCGUCUUUAGCAAUUAUCCAUCUUCAUUCAGUUUCAGUACAUUAUUCUUAUUUUAUUAUUUCAUCUUUUAGUCAUCAUUACUAUCUAUAUAGAGCUACUGUUCUUCGACAGGCAUGCAAACGAGCCGUAUCCAUCCUUGAGUGUCAAGUGGUUUUCUUGCAUCUCUUGCUAGCCAACUCUAUUCAGUUUGCCUCUGUCUCUUCCCACUUCUAUUUCUAUCCCUUCUAAUUCCCCUUUCUUCAGUACUACUGCACUUUAGUAGUAUUUUUUAUUUUUUCCUAUUGCGGCUUCUCAACGUAGAAGCCACUUCACCUUUUCUUACAGCCCAUCUCUCUACAUCUAUGUCCCAUUAGUUAUUUAUUUAUUUUUUUCCUUACUUCUGUUGGAGUAUAUCUUUCUUUUUACUUUCACUCCAACAGAAGUUUUCUUCAUUUUGUUACACUGGCUGCCCAAUGCGUGGUGCCAACCGUUUUUGGUUCUAAGACAGUAGUUCUUUUAGUUCAAUUUUCUUUUAUUGGAAUUUUCUGUUUUAUUAACUUUUUGAUAUCUUUGUAUACAUGUUACUUCUGAUUUAUUUUUGGUCUUUAAAACUUUACGAAUACUAAACAGGUAGACUUAUGCUGCUUUUGGUUUUGAUUAGUUUAUUUCGAUACCUCAUUUUUAGUUUUAGUGGUACAGCUCAUAUGUUAGUUUGGAUUUUGUAUUUUUAUUGGAAACUUAUUUAUGUAUUUAGAUUGAGUAUACAUAACUGACAUUAUGUUCUAUUAGUUAAAUUUUUAUUCCUUCUACCAAUGGUAGUAUGUUUGCACGUACAAUUAAUUAUUGACUAUAUGCAUAUAUUGUUUUCUAGUGUGGUUAUAUUUUACACCUAACUAGAAAUAAUUUUCAGUAUUUAGGUAUUUUAUUUACUUUAUUGAUUUGAUUAUUUAUAUAUUUUGCUGGCAUUUUGAUUUGUUGGUGUGUCGCUAAUAUUUUCUCCAUAUGUAUCUUUGUCUUACAAACUUUAGAUUAUAUUUUAUAUUGGUUAUUUUUGAUAUUUGGGUUGUUUGGUAAGACAGGCACACACCACAAAGCACAAUCAGUCCACAACAUUAGCUUCUACACAUGAUACGUUGAAUUCGCAUGGUUCGGAUGAUUACAGAUGGUCAUCCAAAUUAUUUUUCUUUAAUUGGUAGUGUUAAACAUAACAAUUAUAAUUAUUGUAUGGUACAGUAGUUCCAUUACCCAUCUCAGUUUCUAGUUUUAUUAUUGUUGAUAAUAAUAUUAUAUCAAUGUGGAUUGUGGGUACCAUAAUAUAAUGCUCAUAGAAAUCAGAUACUUUAGGUUGAGAUUUAAAUAUAAAUUCUUUAUUAGUUAGGAAACAUUGAUUCUAUUUUUCUAUUAAGUUAUAGAACAAUCUUCAGAAGAAGAUUACCUUAACAGUGUUGUUCAAGCUAAUCUCUUCUUCUGUUUGUCUUUAGCUUAGCUCAAUCUUUAGUAUGGUUAGAAAUUUUAGUCUAAUUUUUUUUUCCAUCUGAUAAUGCAGUUACCUACAUACAUUGCUUGAUUUCAUCUUUGGCUUAGUUUUGAUGACUUUUAUUUAUUACUUAUUAAUUUAAUUAUUAUGUAGUACUUUAUGUAUGAGUUUAUUUUUUUUUGGGUAUUAGGUAUGGUGCAUUUUAAUUAUUAUUAUGAGUCAAUAUUAUUAAUUGCUAAUCCUGUCAGUAGGAUUAUCCAAUUAAUAAAAACUUCACUUGUAUUUUUGUCUAGUUUUUGCACACCUAACCCCUAAGUUAGAAGGGUUGUUGAGUAUUAUAUAUUUAUAUAUUUGGAUAGGUGAACUCAUACAAGUACCUACUCUUGGUUAAUAUGGAUAUUAUUAUGGAACUAUAUGUUAUGCACUACAUAUGUCAGAUUACCUAUGUGUUAUAUAUUUUUGAAUAUUUGAUUACCUACUAUUUUUUUUAUAUUAUUUUUAUAUCUAGUUAUGAAUUUGCCAUAUUGGAAAGAUGUGGUUUUUAAUUUGUUAUUGGGUUACUCUAUUAACAUUUGUCUCCAAUAUCUUAAACACUUUAUAAUAAUUUAUAUCCUUCUAUCCUACAAUGUGGUUUUUAAUUUGUUAUUGGGUUACUCUAUUAACAUUUGUCUCCAAUAAUGAUUCUGGAAUUAGAUUGGAAUGUUGAUGUGAGUAUGUAUGGUUUCUUAAGUCUUUUAUUGAUUUCUUCUUGUGGACUAGCCUGUCCUUACUCUGUUAAUGCUAGUGAGUGAGUACGUGGGUUCGAAAUUCAGCAAUUGGCCAUUGCUAUCCGGUUUCGUAAUCUAUGUCCUCAUGGCAGAGUAUGCAGAUGUCUAUUCAUCAUCAGUUCCUAACCAUUCUCCUGUAAUUAGUCCACUUAUUCCAGUUUUUGUUACAAAUUGAUAGGGAGGUUUAUUUAAUUUGUAUUAUGUCUCGUACUUCAUAGUAUGUAUGUGGAACUUUGACUGAUGAGGGAUAAAUAUCCUAGUGUGCACGUAUUCAUCGAUCAAAGCUUUGACUAUACCUAUACAUAGUAGGUUCAUUAAUUCAGUAUUUGGAGUGUUUAGACAAAUGAGUUGUUCAUUUGAGUAUAUUCCCACUUCUUUCCUUAGGCAUUAGUUUUGUUAUUUAGAUUUUGGAACAUUUCCUGAAUAAUUCCACGUAUGUGAGAGCGCAUGACUCUGCAGUUUUAAUUAAAAUUGGUUGGCCGUUCUCGUCAAUUUUUUUUUUCCUAUCACUUAUCACAUAUUUUUUUUUCCUAUCACUUAUCAUAGUGUCAUAAAACUUAUGAGUUCAUCAUUUAUUCUUUUUCUUUCUUACUUAUUCUUACAUUAUUGGUACUUUAUCUGAGUCUGGUUAUUCUCAUACAUCUGUUGUAGCAACAUGCUAUAGUUCGCGAAUACCAGCACGAAUUAGUUUAUGUAGUUUCUAUAAUAUUUUAGUCAAUACACAUUAGGUAUUUAUCUUACUUUUGAUUUAGUUAGGUUACAUCUCUGUUACUUAGUCUGUUAGCAAUAUUUAUUCUGACUUAUUUUGAUUACUUAGUUUGGACAGGUUCAUAUUACCGGAUGAGGGUGUAUGUAGACCUAAUUUAUUUAUUUUGUGCAGUAUUAGUUACCAUUGGAUCCAAUAAUUUAGUUUAUUUAGUAUUAGUAAGAAUUGGUCCAUAAAUUUGCCUGAUCGUUUUUCUUUGGAUAUACUCUUAUAUAAAUCUGGUGUCCAUUGAUAGUCCGAUUCUGGAUAAGUGUCCGAUUCUUCAUUUAUUUUGUGUAUUUGGUUGGAUAGGUUCGUAUUACCGGAUGUGGGUGUACGUAGACCUGAUCUGUUUAUGUGGUUUAGUAUUGGUGUGAAUUGGUCCAUAAAUUUGCCUGGUCGUUCUUCUUUGGAUAUGCCUAUUAUGAAUCUGGUGUCCAUUGUUAGUUCAAUUUUGGAUUAAGUGCUCAAUUCUUUACUUAUUUUAGUUACUGUUUUUUUAUUCACUUUGGUACAUUUACUUUUGAUAUGGUUCGAAUUGGCUCACACCUUUUCCUGGUUGUUCCGUCCUUGGAUAUAUCCUUUAUAAAUCUGAUGUCCAUGGAUAGUUCAAUUUUGGUUUGGUGCCCAAUUCGACACUUAGCAUUAUUAUGAACUUUAGUGCAAUAUUUAGUUCUGUUUUGACUUUUAAGCAAUAUUAUGUCAAUAUUUGGUAGCAGAGAGUAACAUAGUAACAUUUUAGUAUGAAUUUGAGUAAUAUAUUUAUUUUUCCUGAUCAGUAGUUUAUUCUUAUUGGUAAUCUUGCGAAUCAACGUGGAUUGUUAGACUAUGUAUUGCAAAGUUAGUUGUUAUUAUUUUGAAGUUUAGAAAAAAAAUUUUAUGGAUAAAAUUUUUUUUUCCCAAGUAGAAGGGGAUUGUAACGGUCACGUUACGAAAGUAGCUCUUUAAUAAUUAUUAUUAUUAUUUUCCCUCGGUCUCUCAUUUAAAUUCUCGUAUAGGACCACUGAGGUGACGUCAUACCUCGGUGAUGGAACGUACUCCACCUAUCGAGAAUUAUUCGGGUUCUGAGAGAAUUUGACGUUUACCUUGGCGGAGAAGCGCCUCUCGUUCUUUACUUGACUGUUGGCUGUUGUGUCGAAUAGAGGUACCAUAUAGAAUGGCGGAUAAUUUCAUCCAACUUAUUUUAUAACAUCAAGCAAUUUAAAGUAAAGUAAAAAGUUACCACCAAGGAUUGUCUGGAGUGAGGAGACAUGUGGGUGACAACUCCUGUUGGAGUCUAAAUAGGAAUCAUUCGGUGAGAUCUACUUUUUCAUAAUAAUUUUUUUAUGUAGGUAUAGCCUUGUUUUUUGUUAUGGAACAUUAGAUAUACUUGGUUCAUUUUAAACUUUCUUAGUCAAUCUAUUAAGGGAAGGAUGUAGAUUAUUUCGAUCUUUAUAUUAUCUUUAUAUCGAUCUUUUAUAUUAAUGUGGUUUUUGGUUUUACAUAACCAAACAUUUUUGAAGUCCUCAAAUUAAUAUUGAAAAUAAUUACCAUUUCUCUGUAGGUUUUAAAUUAUUCGACAUCCAAUAUUUUAUAAAUUCAAUAUAUUUUUUACAGAUAUUUCCUCAAAUAAAUCAUUUCAAUGUCAUUUGUCCAUGUAUUCACACUCAAAACAGUUCAAGGUUACCUGAGAUUGGUUUUUGUUCCAGUUUUAAUGGUCGGUUUUUCUAUACUAUUGCUUCUAAAAAGUUCCUCAAUUAUUUCUUCUUCCCUUUACUUUUUGCUCAUGUUUAAAAUGAGAAAUAAAACUGGGAAUGUUUUUUAGCCAUUUGGGAGAAACCCUACCAUGAAGUCAUAGACCUUAUUUGACCACCUAGAGAAACCACUACAGCCACAGUCAAGUCAUCAUGGGAGUAUGUCUAUUUGGGAGCAAGCUAUGGGAGCGUUCCAGCUCAAUUUUCGUCUUGGCACCUGGGCCUACAGGAGUCAUGGGGUCGCACCAUCCUGGUGCAUCAUUUUCUAGGAUGCAACCGCAACCUCGUUUGGGAACAUUUAGUGAGGUGUUUUAGUAACUAUUGGUUUUUUUUAUAUUUCAGACUAUCUGUUAAAUACACUGUUUUUUUUUCCAGAUUUAGGUUACCUCUGGUUUUUUUUGACAUAUUCGUAUAUUAGAUUAUUUGGUUCCCAAACUUUGUAUCUACGGUAACUUCUUGUGCACAGGAAUAAGCCUAGAGAAAAUUAGGUUUUUAAUACUUUAUUAUUGCUUUGAUAUUGGUUUAUGUAAUUCGGGUAAAUUUAUUUUUUUAAUAUUACUAGCUUGUUUCCCAAAUAUUUUACUGUUAUUCGCUUUAUUCCAUUUGUUCGGUUAAUUUAGGUCAUCGUCGGUAUUUAUCUCAACUUCAUUUCUACUUUAGUCAAUUGUAUAUUUAACUUUAUUUAUUCAUUAUUGUAUUUUCCCUUAGUGAGGCUUGGGCCUAUUUAUUUGUAGUAUUUUCAUCUUUGUCAGUUUCCUUUAGUUGUACGUAGCGGGCGUACUAUAACCAUUUGGUAGAAGACUUAUGUAAUUGUGUACCCUAUAUGUUAGUGAGAGGUACUUAUACCUGUAAUUUUGUAACAGGUAACAUUGUUGUUAUCUUAGGUUGAACAUAACUUUUGCAAACUUUUGUCAUUUUAGAGUCACAUGAUAUACACUUUGUUUAACUCAGAGAUUGUUAAAAAUCUGGUAGUUCAUUUUAAUAAAUGUUUAUUUAUUUUGUA